CCACUCUCACGAUGUCCAGCACUAGGCUCUGAUCGUUCCUUAGGAUAAAAUGCCCCCCAGUAACUUUGAUACUUGGGGGUCUGAGAGGCC
rnacentral:snoRNA from 1 species